UACGUAGGGGGCAAGCGUUGUCCGGAAUCAUUGGGCAUAAAGCGCGUGUAGGCGGCCCGAUAAGUCCGCUGUGAAAGUCCAGGGCUCAACCCUGGGAUGCCGGUGGAUACUGUCGGGCUCGAGUCCGGAAGAGGCGAGUGGAAUUCCUGGUGUAGCGGUGAAAUGCGCAGAUAUCAGGAGGAACACCAAUGGCGAAGGCAGCUCGCUGGGACGUGACUGACGCUGAGACGCGAAAGCGUGGGGAGCAAACAGG
rnacentral:rRNA from 1 species